AUAAAAAUUAAACACAUUACUUGUAUAAGCUCAUAAUGAGGUUGAGCGUUUCUACCAGCUGCCGUAAACAGUUGAUUAUAAGUAUGCUUAGAAAUUGG
rfam:Clostridium tyrobutyricum DIVETGP, WGS project CBXI01000000 data, contig: NODE_14